rnacentral:rRNA from 1 species
AACGUAGGACGCGAGCGUUAUCCGGAGUUACUGGGCGUAAAGCGCACGUAGGCGGAUUUGCCAGUCAGGGGUGAAAUCCCGGGGCUCAACCUCGGAACUGCCUCUGAUACAGCAAGUCUUGAGUCCGGAAGAGGUGGGUGGAAUUCCUAGUGUAGAGGUGAAAUUCGUAGAUAUUCGCAAGAACACCAGUGGCGAAGGCGGCUCACUGGCCCGAUACUGACGCUGAGGCACGAAAGCGUGGGGAGCAAACAGG